rnacentral:ribozyme from 1 species
ACUUUUUUUUUUUUUUUUUUUUUUUUUUUUUUUUUUUUUUUUUUUUUUUUUUUUUUGCUGUUUGUUCUUCUGAAGAAACGGUCACGAGAG